AUCACAUUCUACAUGACUGACUCGCUUUUGUAGCGAACGUGUGCCGAUUUUUUGUUGUUUUACAUAUGUUUUAUUUUUGUUUACCUUUCGCAACGUUCUCUAUAAUUCAGUUAAUGACUUAUCUUUGUAGAUAAAUCAAAUAUAUUUCGUGUUGUUUAACAGCGUUGGAGUUCGCUUUGGGCUUUUACAUCAUUCAUCACAUCAUUUUUCAAGGAAGGCUGACUAAAAAUCUGCAUUUAGGACCAAGGAAGAUAUGGGUUCACGAAAAUAUUCAAGUUAUUGAGAGACUGAAAUCUGAGAAUGUAAAGCGGGGAUUUGGAAACAAAUUCCUAAUUACUUCGAAGGGCUGUGCUGCUUUGGCUCUCGCUUUCUACACAUCCAAAAAGGUUCCGAAGGGAAACAUCAGCCAGCCAUAUUAAGCUUUUCCUUGCUUGAAUUGAUGUAACCUCCUAUGGACUAAGCAAUCGAAAGCCGAUUUCUACCCAGUUAAUGCCAACUAAGUCUUAAGUAAAAGAAUACAUGCUUUUCAGAAUCAA